rnacentral:rRNA from 1 species
CCUACGGGAGGCAGCAGUAGGGAAUUUUGCGCAAUGGGCGAAAGCCUGACGCAGCAACACCGCGUGAAUGUUAAGCCCUUCGGGGUGUAAAGUUCUGUCAAUAGGGACGAAUUUUGACUGUACCUAUAAAGGAAGCACCGGCUAACUCCGUGCCAGCAGCCGCGGUAAUACGGGGGGUGCAAGCGUUGUCCGGAAUCAUUGGGCGUAAAGCGUUCGUAGGCGGCAAGGUAAGUCUGAUGUUAAAGCCCGGGGCUCAACUCCGGUUCGGCAUUGGAUACUAUCUAGCUAGAAUGUGGUAGAGGUAAAGGGAAUUCCUGGUGUAGCGGUGAAAUGCUUAGAUAUGACGAAGAACCCCGAUUGCGAAGGCAGCUUGCUGCAGCGGAACUGACGCUGAUGUUCGAAAGCGCGGGUAUCGAACAGGAUUAGAUACCCGGGUAGUC